rnacentral:rRNA from 1 species
GUGCCAGCGCCGCGGUAAUACCGGCAGCCCGAGUGAUGGCCGGUCUUAUUGGGCCUAAAGCGUCCGUAGCUGGCCGCGCAAGUCCAUCGGGAAAUCCACCCGCCCAACGGGUGGCCGUCCGGUGGAAACUGUGUGGCUUGGAACCGGAAGGCUCAGAGGGUACGUCCGGGGUAGGAGUGAAAUCCCGUAAUCCCGGACGGACCACCGAUGGCGAAAGCACUUCGAGAAAACGGAUCCGACAGUGAGGGACGAAAGCCAGGGUCUCGAACCGGAUUAGAAACCCGGGUAGUCC